rnacentral:rRNA from 1 species
CAAUGGGGGGAACCCUGNAUGCAGCGACGCCGCGUGAGUGAAGAAGUAUUUCGGGUAUGUAAAGCUCUAUCAGCAGGGGAAGAAAAUGACGGUACCUGUACUAAGAAGCCCCGGCUAACUACGUGCCAGCAGCCGCGGUAAUACGUAGGGGGCAAGCGUUAUCCGGAUUUACUGGGUGUAAAGGGAGCGUANACGGUAAAGCAAGUCUGAAGUGAAAGCCCGGGGCUCAACCCCGGGACUGCUUUGGAAACUGUCUGGCUCGAGUGCCGGAGAGGUAAGCGGAAUUCCUAGUGUAGCGGUGAAAUGCGUAGAUAUUAGGAGGAACACCAGUGGCGAAGGCGGCUUACUGGACGGCAACUGACGUUGAGGCUCGAAAGCGUGGGGAGCAAACAGGAUUAGAUACCCUGGUAGUCCAAGGGCGAAUUC